rnacentral:rRNA from 1 species
AUUGAACGCUGGCGGCAGGCCUAACACAUGCAAGUCGAGCGGAUGAUGGGAGCUUGCUCCUGGAUUCAGCGGCGGACGGGUGAGUAAUGCCUAGGAAUCUGCCUGGUAGUGGGGGACAACGUUUCGAAAGGAACGCUAAUACCGCAUACGUCCUACGGGAGAAAGCAGGGGACCUUCGGGCCUUGCGCUAUCAGAUGAGCCUAGGUCGGAUUAGCUAGUAGGUGAGGUAAAGGCUCACCUAGGCGACGAUCCGUAACUGGUCUGAGAGGAUGAUCAGUCAAACUGGAACUGAGACACGGUCCAGACUCCUACGGGAGGCAGCAGUGGGGAAUAUUGGACAAUGGGCGAAAGCCUGAUCCAGCCAUGCCGCGUGUGUGAAGAAGGUCUUCGGAUUGUAAAGCACUUCAAGUUGGGAGGAAGGGCAGUAAGUUAAUACCUUGCUGUUUUGACGCUACCGACAGAAUAAGCACCGGCUAACUUCGUGCCAGCCGCCGCGGUAACAC